ensembl:lncRNA
AUGAGGAGGACACAGCCGGGCGCGGCUGCACCCUCGGCAGCUUGGGCAGCCUCCCCCACUCCUCUCUCUGCUACAGGCCAGGCGGCAGCGGCUCCUUCCCGGCGCGGCGCGGCCUCCGGCAAAGGGGGGGGGGGGCGGGGACCGAGAUGGAGGAGGGAGAGGCUAAGGACCCGCGCGGGUGCACGCUCGUUAGCGCACAAGUGGCACGGCCGCGCGAGCCUGUGUGAUGGCAGUGCGCGGGAAUGCCUGUGCCUGCGUGCCGGGGUCGCGGGGAAGGCCCGCGGAGGCCGUGGGCAGGGAGCGAGUGGGCUGUGGGAAGGGGAGUGGGUUUGCCAGGGCGCAUCUCUCUCUGGGCAGGCACACAACCACGGGCGCCGUGGCCGCGUCCCACGCUCAGCUUCCCCCGCGGAAGCGCCGAGAGGGGCAGGCUACUCUCUUCUCCCGCAAGCCCGGCUCUGCCAGCGCAGGCAGCCACAGGCUCGCAGGCCACGCGGGCAAGGCUCUCUCCACCCCACCCCCACUCCACCCCCUCCUCGUAGGGACUCGCCAGGCGCCCUCCGAGGCGACCGGGCGUCUCUCUGCCGAAGCCCAAGGCGUCCCGAGCAACCCAGAGGCCCGGUGGGCUUUGAAAGAGCCGCGGGCGGGGUUCACAACCCCGCACACGGAGCACCUGGACGCGUCGGCUUCCCUCCUCGCUCCCUGCCCCUUCCUCGGCCCCGGAACCUUGCAAAGGGGGAAAGAGAAAGAAAAAGAAAGAGAGAGAAGGGCCGGGCUGUGCUGCGCGUCUCGCCCUCUGGUCGGCAAGGGCACUCACCUGGUCCAGUGCGCGCCGUGCUGUGCCGCGGGGCUCCUGCGCGGUCCUGCGCUCCUCAGCGCCUGCCUCCCACGCCCACCGCCCUAGCUCGCUCCCCGGCGCUAGGAGGUUGGCGAAGGAGGGCGUGCGUGCGAGCCCCUCGGGCUGGCAGCCAGGCGCGCGACGGCCGCCCCGGCCCGAGCUCCCCGCCCGCGCCGUCUGCUUUCCGGAACCUGGCCUGGCGCGCAGUGUCAGAGGCCCCCGCGGCGGCGGCAGGCCGAGCCCACCGGGGCACGAGGCCAACUCCCCCCGCGCCGCGGAAUUCUCUAUUAUUAUUAUUAAAGAAUCCCCCAGAAGGUGUUUACGUUCAGCCGUGUAAACUUCCUGCCAGGGCCUUGCCAUCUCUCGGGGAAAUUGGGAACUCCGGGGCCGAGGGGCCAAACAGGAGGAUUUUCAGUGUCUGUGUGUGUGUUGGGGGACAGGCAGUGCGUGUGAGUUCAGACCAAGCCUGGCGUGUGUACGCGUGCACCCCGUGUGCCUGA